rnacentral:tRNA from 1 species
GCACCCGUAGCUCAAUGGAUAGAGUAUCUGACUUCGGAUCAGAGGGUUCCAGGUUCGAGUCCUGGCGGGUGCACCA